GAUGAACGCUGGCGGCGUGCCUAAUACAUGCAAGUCGAGCGAACAGAUGAGGAGCUUGCUCCUCUGACGUUAGCGGCGGACGGGUGAGUAACACGUGGAUAACCUACCUAUAAGACUAGGAUAACUUCGGGAAACCGGAGCUAAUACCGGAUAAUAUAUUGAACCGCAUGGUUCAAUAGUGAAAGACGGUUUUGCUGUCACUUAUAGAUGGAUCCGCGCCGCAUUAGCUAGUUGGUAAGGUAACGGCUUACCAAGGCGACGAUGCGUAGCCGACCUGAGAGGGUGAUCGGCCACACUGGAACUGAGACACGGUCCAGACUCCUACGGGAGGCAGCAGUAGGGAAUCUUCCGCAAUGGGCGAAAGCCUGACGGAGCAACGCCGCGUGAGUGAUGAAGGUCUUCGGAUCGUAAAACUCUGUUAUUAGGGAAGAACAAAUGUGUAAGUAACUAUGCACGUCUUGACGGUACCUAAUCAGAAAGCCACGGCUAACUACGUG
rnacentral:rRNA from 1 species